rnacentral:lncRNA from 1 species
AUGUCUUGGGAAAUCAAGAACGCCCUCGAGGAGGAUUCUGGGAAACUGACGUUGAGCCUCCUGAGGGGCAUGCGCGAGGGUGGCUACUAUCCGACUUGGAACCACGGCCAUUUUGGCUCUGCGGCCCAUGUAUUCCUAUCCCCUGGUUCCAGUCUAGGUGGUCCAGGCUCUGUUCUAACAGGGCAUUUGUUCUGUAAUUCUGCAUUAUUAGUUCUCCGCUUCCUCCCAGAGGAGACUCAGAUUAUCAUCCUGGUAUGGAGAUCAAUGGAAGAUAUUUGAAGAACACUCUUCAAUUCCCA